AACCCUAUUCCUUGUUUGAAGGGCGUUGCUAGGAGUGACUGACGUAAUCAGGCAUGUCUCACCAGUACUCCCCCUUGAAGAGAGUAUGGCUGAACACCCGUGUACCGCCAGUAUCCCCCCCCAAGCAAGGUUAUCCGCAUCAAGGCCAAAGCGACAAGAUGGGAUCGAAUCAAUGUGGCCACAACGACACAAUGACUCCGUUACCCAUGCACUAUUAGAUGGGUUGAUUCACUAUCAGAAUCUAGUUCCAGGCCAAUAGAACUACGUGUUUAUAGUCCAACUCUGAUCAGGAGC
rnacentral:lncRNA from 1 species